AAUCAACGCUGGCGGCGUGCCUAACACAUGCAAGUCGAACGAGAAAGUGGGGGCAACCCUGCGAGUACAGUGGCAGACGGGUGAGUAACACGUGAACAACCUACCCUUGAGUGGGGAAUAACACCGCGAAAGCGGAGCUAAUACCGCAUAACAUCUUGAGCUCGCAUGGGCGAGAGAUCAAAGCCGAAAGGCGCUUGAGGAGGGGUUCGCGGCUGAUUAGCUAGUUGGUGAGGUAACGGCUCACCAAGGCGACGAUCAGUAGCCGGCCUGAGAGGGCGAACGGCCACACUGGAACUGAGACACGGUCCAGACUCCUACGGGAGGCAGCAGUGGGGAAUUUUGCGCAAUGGGCGAAAGCCUGACGCAGCAACGCCGCGUCGGAGGAUGAAGGCCUUCGGGUCGUAAACUCCUGUCGACGGGGAAGAAAGCCGAAAGGUUUGACUGUACCCGUUGAGGAAGCACGGCUAACUCCGUGCCAGCAGCCGCGGUAAGCAUACUCGUAC
rnacentral:rRNA from 1 species